GGAUGCACACCCAGUGUAAUGUAUACACAGGAGACAAGGUUCUGAGUGCACUAUAUGUGACACCCUAAAGUAGGUAUCACUGAAGUCAACAAUUUACAAGUUAUGAAUAUCAUCACAGCUCCCCACCACACGUGGGGUGAGCUGUUCUCAUGUAACAAAUACAACCAAAAACAGAGAUAUAACCUUAGAACAAAGAUCAUGCGGUUCCCAGCUUGCGACAGGAAAGAAAGGAGCCCACAGUUGCAGCGACACACCAUGCCUGAACUUUGCCAAUGUGACAACACCCAUCAGUCAUACA